CUAGUAGCGCCGCUAUUGUAUUCGCUACUUUUUCCGAGUGGGGAUGCCAUUCCUUCCGCUGGAGCAGCGAAGGGCUGUCUGUCUGUAGCCAAAAUGGGAAUGGGUUCGCAUGAAUGACGCCGUCCAGCGUCUAUUCCUUCUCCUCGGCCGAUUGUUCCUCGGGGGCUGGCCAUUCGCAGACCACCGAAUGGGGUCACUUGAGCCCCGCAUAAAAGACCAUCCUGCGCAAGGGGAAAGUGCUCCGUCUACCGCUAACUGUCCACGAGAUCAACUUACCAUGCGCUCCGCAAUGCAAAUCACUGCCGUGCUGCUCGUCAGCAGCAUCACUUUCGUCCUGGGUCAGCAAGGUUACGGUGGCUACGGCGGGGCUGGAGGGUGCUCAGUUGGGUGGCGCUGGGGGCUACGGCGGCGGAGCGCAACUCAGUGCUGCUGGACUCGGAGCCGGAGGAGGCUACGGCGGCGCAGCUGGAGGUUACGGCGGCGCAUCUGGAGGUUACGGCGGCGAAGCUGGAGGUUACGGCAGUGCUGCUGGUGGACAGCCAUCUUUUGGCGGUGCCGGACAGUCUCCUUACAGCGGUGCAUUUGAUUUCACUAACAACGUCAACCAUGCUGAUAUGGAGCCGGUCAAGCCGCAGGCGGUGGACAAGGCGCAACACAAGCAUAUGGAGCUGGCGCUGGCGCCGGUCUGGGCGCUCAGUACGGAGGCGCUGGGGCUGCUGGAAGCUACGCCGCACCCUCUUCCUUGGGAGCUCAAGGAGGCUACGCAGGAGCCGCUAGCGCAAGUUAUGCUGGGCUAGGAUCUCAGGGUGGCUACGACGGAGGUCUCGGCGGCAGGGGCGGUGCUGCUCUGGUUUCAGGGGCUGGAGGAGGCUAUGGCGGAGCUGGUCUCGCAGGCCUUGGUGCCGCUGGAGCUGGUGGAUACGGUGGUUCUCAAGGCGGUUAUUCUGGUGCUGGAUUUGGACAAGGCGGUUUUGGAGGCCAAGCUGCUUUUGGACAAGGUGGAAGUUACGGUCAGGGUGGUGCACAAGGAGGCUACUAGACACGUAGUCAUCAGCCGUCCACGCCGAUGACAUAAGUUGUACAAAUGUUGUAAAUAGUUGUGUGCGUGUGGAAUUUUUUACGUCGUCAUGAUGGCCACGUACGAGGGUCAAGCGCGAGAAAAACGCAUUUUGUUAGAAUUGAACGUGCGGGAGACACUGAUGUGGUCCACAAGACAAUUUGUAAUAAGAUUUACGGACUCACCAGAUGGAAAAUACACAACUGCAGCGGUAAGGAGACGUGACUACAAUGCACACAGGGCUCCGCCUAUCACAUUGUUUUGAUUGUAAAAUUGUUAAAAGAACCUUAGGAAGAAAUAUUAAUUUGCCAGGCCAAGAUUUUUCCGCCCUGUUCAAUAUGUAUAGGCUUGUGAUUUCCUUACAGAACAAACGCUCCUAACGUGUAUUUUACUUAGUGCAUCUCAAGAACCAGUAUUAUUUCAUUUUUCUCGUUUGCUUGCACAUUUUUCGAAUUUCCAAAUCAAGAGAAACUAAACUUGAACAAGGUAUCAGAUCAUAACCUGCAGUAUCUAAUCCAAGCAUUGCAGUAUCCAAGGAUAACCUGUAAGGUGCCAAACGUAAGCAGUGAAGACCCCUCGAUUCCGGUCUGUGAUCGCACAGAGAAAUACAGGUAUAAUACGCCAAGGAAAUAAAUAUACAAUAUUUAAAAAAAAACGUCAAGGAAAUAGACAUACAAUAUUAAAAAAAAACAAAAAAAAAACACGUAAUAGGUGAUGUCCUGGUUAUGUGAAAAUGCAUUACACUGUAGUUCCGGUACAUGCUAUGCAGCAUGUCUUCAAACAAAUAAAAUGUAUCA